rnacentral:rRNA from 1 species
GCUACACAUGCAGUCGAGGGGUAGAGUUCUUCGGGACUUGAGACCGGCGCACGGGUGCGUAACGCGUAUGCAAUCUACCUUAUACAGGGGAAUAGCCCAGAGAAAUUUGGAUUAAUGCCCCAUAGUGUUAUCGAAUCGCAUGGUUUGAUAACUAAAGUUCCAACGGUAUAAGAUGAGCAUGCGUCCCAUUAGUUAGUUGGUAAGGUAACGGCUUACCAAGACAAUGAUGGGUAGGGGUCCUGAGAGGGAGAUCCCCCACACUGGUACUGAGACACGGACCAGACUCCUACGGGAGGCAGCAGUGAGGAAUAUUGGUCAAUGGGCGCAAGCCUGAACCAGCCAUGCCGCGUGCAGGAAGACGGUCCUAUGGAUUGUAAACUGCUUUUAUACAGGAAGAAACCCUCCCACGUGUGGGAGCUUGACGGUACUGUAGGAAUAAGGAUCGGCUAACUCCGUGCCAGCAGCCGCGGUAAUACGGAGGAUCCAAGCGUUAUCCGGAAUCAUUGGGUUUAAAGGGUCCGUAGGCGGCCUUAUAAGUCAGUGGUGAAAUCUCCUAGCUCAACUAGGAAACUGCCAUUGAUACUGUAGGGCUUGAAUUUUUGUGAAGUAACUAGAAUAUGUAGUGUAGCGGUGAAAUGCUUAGAUAUUACAUGGAAUACCAAUUGCGAAGGCAGGUUACUAACAAACGAUUGACGCUGAUGGACGAAAGCGUGGGGAGCGAACAGGAUUAGAUACCCUGGUAGUCCACGCCGUAAACGAUGGA